AUUGAACGCUGGCGGCAUGCUUUACACAUGCAAGUCGAACGGUAACAGGUCUUCGGAUGCUGACGAGUGGCGAACGGGUGAGUAAUACAUCGGAACGUGCCUAGUAGUGGGGGAUAACUACUCGAAAGAGUAGCUAAUACCGCAUGAGAUCUACGGAUGAAAGCAGGGGACCUUCGGGCCUUGUGCUACUAGAGCGGCUGAUGGCAGAUUAGGUAGUUGGUGGGGUAAAGGCUUACCAAGCCUGCGGUCUGUAGCUGGUCUGAGAGGACGACCGGCCACACUGGGACUGGGACACGGCCCAGACUCCUACGGGAGGCAGCAGUGGGGAAUUUUGGACAAUGGGCGAAAGCCUGAUCCAGCAAUGCCGCGUGCAGGAUGAAGGCCCUCGGGUUGUAAACUGCUUUUGUACGGAACGAAAAGCCUGGGGCUAAUAUCCCCGGGUCAUGACGGUACCGUAAGAAUAAGCACCGGCUAACUACGUGCCAGCCGCCGCGGUAACAC
rnacentral:rRNA from 1 species